rnacentral:rRNA from 1 species
CCUACGGGGGGCAGCAGUGGGGAAUAUUGGACAAUGGGGGCAACCCUGAUCCAGCCAUGCCGCGUGUGUGAAGAAGGCCUUCGGGUUGUAAAGCACUUUCAGUGAGGAAGAACGCCUGGUGGUUAAUACCCAUCAGGAAAGACAUCACUCACAGAAGAAGCACCGGCUAACUCCGUGCCAGCAGCCGCGGUAAUACGGAGGGUGCGAGCGUUAAUCGGAAUUACUGGGCGUAAAGCGCGCGUAGGUGGCUUGAUAAGCCGGUUGUGAAAGCCCCGGGCUCAACCUGGGAACGGCAUCCGGAACUGUCAAGCUAGAGUGCAGGAGAGGAAGGUAGAAUUCCCGGUGUAGCGGUGAAAUGCGUAGAGAUCGGGAGGAAUACCAGUGGCGAAGGCGGCCUUCUGGACUGACACUGACACUGAGGUGCGAAAGCGUGGGUAGCAAACAGGAUUAGAUACCCUAGUAGUC